GACGAACGCUGGCGGCGUGCUUAACACAUGCAAGCCGAACGGAAAGGCCCUGCUUUUGUGGGGUGCUCGAGUGGCGAACGGGUGAGUAACAUGUGAGUAACCUGCCCUUGACUUUGGGAUAACUUCAGGAAACUGGGGCUAAUACCGGAUAGGAGCUCCUGCUGCAUGGUGGGGGUUGGAAAGUUUCGGGGGUUGGGGACGGACCCGCGGCUUCUCGGCCUGUUGGUGGGGUAGUGGCUUACCCAGGCCUUGACGGGUAGCCGGCCUGAGAGGGUGACCGGCCACAUGGGGAGGGAGAGACGGCCCCUCCCCCGACGGGGGGCAGGAGGGGGGAAUAUUGGCCAAUGGGCGGAAGCCUGAUGCAACAAGGCCGGGGGGGGGAGGACGGCCUCAGGGGUGUAACCCGCUUUGGCCUGAGCCCAAGCGCGAAGGAGGGGACUGGUCAAGGAAGAGCGGGGCAACUCCAC
rnacentral:rRNA from 1 species